rnacentral:rRNA from 1 species
CUGAAGUUCACAUAUGUGCUGGCUGGCUGGGAGGGGUCAACGCAUGAUGCUAACAUUCUCACUGACAGCAUGAGUCGACCUGAUGGGAUCAACAUCCCCGACGUCAAGUUCUACCUUGGAGAUGCUGGCUAUGCAUGUCGGCCGGAUAUUCUUCCACCCUUCAGGAAAACAAGGUACCAUCUCAACGAGUUCUCUGGUAGGAACUAUCCUAGGACUGCACAUGAGCUGUUUAAUCUCAGACACUCCAGCCUUAAGUAA